rnacentral:lncRNA from 1 species
GGGAAGGACCCCGAGCGGCGACACCACAGCUCCGUGCGCCCGCUAGCGAGACACCAGCUCCACACCUGCCUUCCUCGCGGCUCGCCGCACGCACCCUAUUUUUAGCUUCCGGGUUAAAGCACAGCGUAGGCGCGUGCCCGAGGGGGCUCCACGGGGCUCUCCAGCUGACAGCGGCGACUUCGGGAUCUGCCGCAGGGCUCCCCGCCGGACGGAGCCCCAGCUACAGCGGAGGAGCAGCCCGAGUAGCGGACAUUAGCCACAAAGGCCUGACCAUAAUCGGAUUUUCCUCUUUUACGGCUGUUUUUCGUGAGCUCUGAUGAGAGUAAACCUGUGGGUGAAUGGACGGAGUAACGGUCCAACCGCGCUCUUCACGCUCUGGGCGGCAGCCGCAGCGUCCUCUGCAGCCCUAGCACAAAGCCAAGCUGCUCUCAGAUCGGAUUCCAGACACGCCUUUAAAAAUAUUGACUCUUUCGGUGUAUAAAUACUUUGCCACACCACUCUUUGUUGGUAGAGGCUAGAAGAGGGCGUUGAAUCCAGUGACAAUGGUUGUGAACCACCUUAUACGUACUGAGAGAACCGAACCUUGGUCCUCUACAAAAGCAUCAAAUGCUCUGAACCAUCUUUUUAGGCCCUGUUGUCUCCAUUUUAAAAUAUUUACUUUUAUUAUUUUUGUUUAUGUGUAACUGCGCCUUCGUUUAUAUGGCGUGAGUGUGCAGUGCCUAUGGAGAUCGGUCCCUUGGAACUGUAGUUACUGAUAUAGAUAGCCUGAAUAUUCUUCCAUGGUAGCUGGCUUUUACAAGAGUGAAAGAGAAAGAGAAAAACCUAGAUCUGGAACCAGCAUUACAUCACUUCUGCUGUAUUAUGUUCAAUGACAACUAGAUUCGUGGAAAGAGAUUUAUUUGAGGUGGGGCCACCUGCCCUGCAGCUUUCUGACUUGGCUGGCUCCUUUUUGAAGUGACAACUGCCCUGUUCUUCUGCUACCUGCUGAGAGGCUGAACCUGUCUUCCUGAGAUGUUCCUGAGAUAGCUGACUACCUGUGGAACUGGCGACUUACUGCUAACAGCUCUGGCAGACUAGUGCUAACAACUUGGCAACAAUACACCAAGAAGCCUGGCCCGAGUGCUGAUGGAAUGGCUCCAGGCACCAAGAGUGGACUGGCAGGGGAAUGGGCCUUCUGCCUUAUAAACACGGUCUCUUAAUAAAUUUGAGAGCCCUGAAGAGGGAAUCGUCUUGGCUCCAUUAAUCUCUCUCACCGUCUAAGUCUUUUUCAGCCCCAGCCUGUCUCCCAGGUGUACCCGGUUCAUAUAGGCCAUCGGCCAGUAUACAACAGAUUGGCGUCCGAGCCAGGGACAUUGGGAACGGCGGGAAACCACUGAGGGAAUUGCUGUCUUGCAUGGAGCUCCAAGGGAAGGAAAGAAUCAGAGGAUUGUAUCGGGCAUGGUGACCAACAGGUGACCUCCAGGCUGAGAACCGCUGCUCUAGAGCAAUAUGGAAAGAUUUCCUGUGUGCAGUAUCCUCCAUGAAAUGAUCAGGCUGCUGAACUGAACAGAAACUUCAGGUCUGUGCCACGGACUUCAUCUGCUAACGAACUGGCGUAUCCGCACUGCCGUGGAACGUCUGCAGUGUUGGAGCAGCACUGUUACAGCAGUAAAAACUAUUCGGCUUUCUGUAGGGACUGGGUAAAUAAAUCCUGGUGUGUUCUUGUGAUGAAACUUCACAUACUUCAUAGGAAGAAUGGAGGGCAGCAAUGUUACCACUGUGAAAUCCUCCUUGAGAAGUACUUUAAGUGAGAAUGAGAAAUUUGUAUGCAACAUAUUCCUACUGGGUUUAAAAACUAAGACUCCUGGGGAAGACUACAAACUAUUGUACAACUGGUGCCCAUUUCUCGAAGUGACACUUCUGAAGCACCAAGCGUUGGCUCAGAUCAGUGAACCCCUUGACUUCUGGUCUGUUACUUAGAUUCUAAUAGUUUACAUAUUUCAAUUUUUGCUUAUAAUUACACAAAUUACUAUCGC